rnacentral:snRNA from 1 species
GUGCUCGCUUCAGCAGCACACAUACUAAAAAUUGGAACGACACACAGAAGAUUAUCAUGGCCCCUGCGCAAAGAUGACGUGCAAAUUCUCGAAGCGUUCCACAUUUAA